AGUGAACGCUGGCGGUAGGCCUAACACAUGCAAGUCGAACGGCAGCACAGUAAGAGCUUGCUCUUACGGGUGGCGAGUGGCGGACGGGUGAGGAAUACAUCGGAAUCUACUUUUUCAUGGGGGAUAACGUAGGGAAACUUACGCUAAUACCGCAUACGACCUACGGGUGAAAGCAGGGGAUCUUCGGACCUUGCGCGAUUGAAUGAGCCGAUGUCGGAUUAGCUAGUUGGCGGGGUAAAGGCCCACCAAGGCGACGAUCCGUAGCUGGUCUGAGAGGAUGAUCAGCCACACUGGAACUGAGACACGGUCCAGACUCCUACGGGAGGCAGCAGUGGGGAAUAUUGGACAAUGGGCGCAAGCCUGAUCCAGCCAUACCGCGUGGGUGAAGAAGGCCUUCGGGUUGUAAAGCCCUUUUGUUGGGAAAGAAAAGCAGCAGGUUAAUACCCCGCUGUUCUGACGGUACCCAAAGAAUAAACACCGGCUAACUUCGU
rnacentral:rRNA from 1 species